rnacentral:rRNA from 1 species
AUUGAGCGCUGGCGGCAGGCCUAACACAUGCAAGUCGAGCGGAUGAAGGGAGCUUGCUCCUGGAUUCAGCGGCGGACGGGUGAGUAAUGCCUAGGAAUCUGCCUGGUAGUGGGGGAUAACGUCCGGAAACGGGCGCUAAUACCGCAUACGUCCUGAGGGAGAAAGUGGGGGAUCUUCGGACCUCACGCUAUCAGAUGAGCCUAGGUCGGAUUAGCUAGUUGGUGGGGUAAAGGCCUACCAAGGCGACGAUCCGUAACUGGUCUGAGAGGAUGAUCAGUCACACUGGAACUGAGACACGGUCCAGACUCCUACGGGAGGCAGCAGUGGGGAAUAUUGGACAAUGGGCGAAAGCCUGAUCCAGCCAUGCCGCGUGUGUGAAGAAGGUCUUCGGAUUGUAAAGCACUUUAAGUUGGGAGGAAGGGCAGUAAGUUAAUAUCUUGCUGUUUUGACGUUACCAACAGAAUAAGCACCGGCUAACUUCGUG